rnacentral:rRNA from 1 species
UACGAAGGGUGCAAGCGUUACUUGGAAUUACUGGGCGUAAAGCGUGCGUAGGUGGUUCGUUAAGUCUGAUGUGAAAGCCCUGGGCUCAACCUGGGAAUGGCAUUGGAAACUGGCGACCUAGAGUGCGGUAGAGGGUAGUGGAAUUCCCGGUGUAGCAGUGAAAUGCGUAGAGAUCGGGAGGAACAUCUGUGGCGAAGGCGACUGCCUGGACCAGCACUGACACUGAGGCACGAAAGCGUGGGGAGCAAACAGGG